ACCGGGCUUGGUAGCGCUUGUCUGUAACUCAAGUGAGGGUAUUAAAGAUG
rnacentral:sRNA from 1 species